CCAAGAUCUCAACAUGUAGGGGAGCAAGCAGACAAUCAAAGCUUUAACGCCAAUUAGAGAAUGACCAAGAUUGGACUAGCCUCGUGCAUGACGGUUCUCGACCACCAAGUAACGAAUCAGUAAUCAUCUCUUAUGGUCGACGAGUCAAAGGAAAACAUGCAAAUCACACUAGAAUACUCUCAGAUUGACUGAUAACAGAAACAAAUCAACACUGGAAGUCACUCGGGCAAAACAUCGAACACCUGAUGGACAUGAAAUUUCAAGUGCUCGGAACAGAAUACUCAACAAAUUAUCGAUGACGAGUAUAGAGAGAGGUGUUCAUUUUAAACAUUACAAGACACAAAAUCGACGAAUCGGAGGACAGGCGUGCACUGAGACAUGCUCGGCUAAAACCAAAAUAGAGCAUAGGAGAGGGGAUGCGUGGCCAGAGCCGUCACUGGUCGAGAUUGAUGAUCGCCCGAAGGAGAGAGAUCGUAAUGGACAGUAAAGACGGGACCUAGAACCGUCAAAGGGAGGGAGAAACAAAGACUGCGUACUUCAGCAGCGAUGGCUCUGAAAUAGGGGCGAACGGAGCCUCUUCACGGCCGCGGAACUGGUGGCGAUCGUGCGACUACCGGUGGUUGAAAUUGACGCGACUGACUGAGAGGGAAUUGGACAAGGCCCUUUCAAUUAUGAACGAAU
rnacentral:lncRNA from 1 species